GAUGAAGAACGUAGCGAAAUGCGAUAAGUAAUGUGAAUUGCAGAAUCCAGUGAAUCAUCGAAUCUUUGAACGCACAUUGCGCCCGCCAGCAUUCUGGCGGGCAUGCCUGUUCGAGCGUCAUUUCAACCCUCGACCUCCCUUUGGGGAAGUCGGCGUUGGGGACCGGCAGCACACCGCCGGCCCUGAAAUGGAGUGGCGGCCCGUCCGCGGCGACCUCUGCGUAGUAAACCAACUCGCACCGGAACCCCGACGUGGCCACGCCGUAAAACACCCAACUUCUGCACGUUGACCUCGAAUCAGGUAGGACUACCCGCUGAACUUAAGCAUAUCAAUAAGCGGAGGA
rnacentral:misc_RNA from 1 species